rnacentral:rRNA from 1 species
GUGCACGCUGGCGGUAGGCCUAACACCUGCAAGUCGAACGGCAGCACAGUAAGAGCUUGCUCUUCCGGGUGGCGAGUGGCGGACGGGUGAGGAAUACAUCGGAAUCUACUUUUUCGUGGGGGAUAACGUAGGGAAACUUACGCUAAUACCUCAUACGACCUACGGGUGAAAGCAGGGGAUCUUCGGACCUUGCGCGAUUGAAUGAGCCGAUGUCGGAUUAGCUAGUUGGCGGGGUAAAGGCCCACCAAGGCGACGAUCCGUAGCUGGUCUGAGAGGAUGAUCAGCCACACUGGAACUGAGACACGGUCCAGACUCCUAAGGGAGGCAGCAGUGGGGAAUAUUGGACAAUGGGCGCAAGCCUGAUCCAGCCAUACCGCGUGGGUGAAGAAGGCCUUCGGGUUGUAAAGCCCUUUUGUUGGGAAAGAAAAGCAGCAGGUUAAUACCCCGCUGUUCUGACGGUACCCAAAGAAUAAGCACCGGCUAACUUCGUG